rnacentral:rRNA from 1 species
CUUAAAAUUCUUUAUGGUGGUGUCACAAAAUCGGAGGCCACGACUGUUUACUAAAAACACAAUUCAGAGCAAUGAUGAAAAUCAUAGUAUUCUGGAUGAAAUUUGCCCGAUGCCAUUAACAUAAAAGAGGUAAUGGGAAACUGUUACUAAUUGAAAGUCUGGUUAAUAGCGGUCUUAACUAUGAGGAUCCUAAGGUAGCAAAAUCAGUUGGCCAUUAAAUGUGGUCUGGUAUCAAUAGUGUAACGAUGGUCUCACUGUCUCUACAACUUGCUCAGUGAAAUUGAAUUAUCCGUGCAGAUGCGGAUUGCCUCCAGGUGGACGGGAAGACCCUAUGCAGCUUCUC